UACACUCCUACGGGAGGCAGCAGUGGGGAAUAUCGCACAAUGGGCGCAAGCCUGAUGCAGCCAUGCCGCGUGUAUGAAGAAGGCCUUCGGGUUGUAAAGUACUUUCAGCGGGGAGGAAGGCGAUAAGGUUAAUAACCUUGUCGAUUGACGUUACCCGCAGAAGAAGCACCGGCUAACUCCGUGCCAGCAGCCGCGGUAAUACGGAGGGUGCAAGCGUUAAUCGGAAUUACUGGGCGUAAAGCGCACGCAGGCGGUCUGUCAAGUCGGAUGUGAAAUCCCCGGGCUCAACCUGGGAACUGCAUUCGAAACUGGCAGGCUAGAGUCUUGUAGAGGGGGGUAGAAUUCCAGGUGUAGCGGUGAAAUGCGUAGAGAUCUGGAGGAAUACCGGUGGCGAAGGCGGCCCCCUGGACAAAGACUGACGCUCAGGUGCGAAAGCGUGGGGAGCAAACAGGAUUAGAAACCCGUGUAGUCCCAUGAU
rnacentral:rRNA from 1 species